rnacentral:rRNA from 2 species
CAGGGAAAAGCUCACAGUUGGAACCUAGCUGCCUUAGGUAGUUCGGAUUGUAAACUGAAAAAGUGUUAUCCAGGCUAGCCGAGUAAAAAAGUUUCUUGGAAUAGAACAUCAUGGAGGGUGAGAAUCCCGUCUUUGGCUUGAGCAUAGUCUUUUGUGUUACACUUUAACGAGUCAGGUUGUUUGGGAAUGCAGCCUAAAGUGGGAGGUAAAUCCCUCCUAAAGCUAAAUAUUGGCGAGAGACCGAUAGCAAACAAGUACCGUGAGGGAAAGAUGAAAAGAACUUUGAAAAGAGAGUUAAACAGUAUGUGAAAUUGCUAAAAGGGAAGCGUUUGAAGACAGACUAGCUUGGUUAUAAUCAGCCUGGAUUUUUCUUGGUGUACUUGUAGCCUAUGCUUGCCAACAGCAGUUUGGUUUGGCUGAAAAAACUAGUAGUAAGGUGGCUCUCUUCGGGGAGUGUUAUAGACUAUUAGAAAAUCAGUUGGACUGGACUGAGGAAUGCAAUGCAGCUUGCCUUGGGGUGAACCAGAUUGGAUAGGAACCAUUGUUCCUUGAAGGUUUGGGUAGCUCUUCGAACUGUAUUUAGGUUGUUGGCUUAAUGUCUUUAAACG